GACGGAGCCAUUGAUCUGAGAUUUUUCUGUAGCUGUGACAAGGGAAGAUUGGAAUUUUAGAGAGACGCCAGGUCUGUCCAACAACCAUCGGAGCGAGAUCCCAGCAGAUCUGGCCGACUGCCCCAAGCUCAAGGAGACCUGCUUCCAAAGAACCAGGCUGCAGGACAAGUGCCUGCAGAUGGUCCACAGCUGCCAGACCAGGUUUAUCCUGGAGUACCUGUGCCCUGGGGGCCAAGACAAGGCCAAGACCAGAGAAGGAAGAGGAAGGAGCUGAGGGAUAGAGACAAAGGUGUGUGCCUUCGAACCAGACCAGGCCGGGAGGAGAGGCCGCCUGGCCGGUGACCUUGACCAUCACUCCAGCCAAAUGACUCAGUUUCUUCCCUGGAAAACAGGAUGCAGCAGGACCCAGAUCGGUUGGACGGGAGCUAGAGGUGGUUAACGGGACCAGGGCCUCAUCUCCCCAGGGUGCCAGUGUUCCUGGAGUUUCUGAUAUGUUGGUGGGUUCCUGAUUUCUGUAAUAAAUGACACAUUUAGUCUCA
ensembl:lncRNA